GGGCGCGUAGCUCAGCGGUAGAGCGGUACCUUUACAAGGUAUUGGUCGGGGGUUCGAGACCCUCCGCGCCCA
rnacentral:tRNA from 1 species